AACGAACGCUGGCGGCAUGCCUAACACAUGCAAGUCGAACGAGACCUUCGGGUCUAGUGGCGCACGGGUGCGUAACGCGUGGGAACCUGCCCUUAGGUUCGGAAUAACUCCCCGAAAGGGGUGCUAAUACCGGAUAAUGUCUUCGGACCAAAGAUUUAUCGCCUUUGGAUGGGCCCGCGUUGGAUUAGCUAGUUGGUAGGGUAAAAGCCUACCAAGGCGACGAUCCAUAGCUGGUCUGAGAGGAUGAUCAGCCACACUGGGACUGAGACACGGCCCAGACUCCUACGGGAGGCAGCAGUGGGGAAUAUUGGACAAUGGGCGAAAGCCUGAUCCAGCAAGGCCGCGUGAGUGAUGAAGGCCUUAGGGUUGUAAAGCUCUUUUACCCGGGAUGAUAAUGACAGAACCGGGAGAAUAAGCUCCGGCUAACUCCGU
rnacentral:rRNA from 1 species